rnacentral:rRNA from 1 species
GCUAAAAGAGACUGCGGAGGA